GAUGAGUAGCACAAUCACCAUACCCACUUCUGUAACAUGUAUGGAAAAUGUGAAAAUUGCUAGUUUGGGACAAAAUCACUUCUUUAGGUCUGUUUUAAACUCACAUUUACUAUUACAACUGGUUUAUUUCAAACUAUUUUAUUUUUGUCACAUUUGAUUCAAAUUUGUAUUUACCCAUAAUCCCUUUGGGUGUGGUCUUUUUCACAAAUAAUCAAUUUCGAGUUCACUGACACAAUAAAAAGUAGAAAUAAUAACAUUUUGUAUUACAUGGAGGCUAGUAUCUCCUCAGUGAGAUCAACUGGCACUCUAAAAACUGACUUUCUGCCUCUUUUUACAACUUGAAGAUCACAUAACCGUUUUUCUCUUGGAAAUUCAGCUCUCUUUUUGCGAUUCUUUUCAUUACAUUUUAGAUUCCUUAGCCUAUUCUUUUCCUGCUUUUUCCUCCUCCACUCUUUGAUCCUCGCAAGCUUUUCUUCCUUUUCGUUAACCAUACCUUUUGUCAAACGCACCUGAAGCGAUAUUUACAGAUUGCUAAAUCUCACAAAAAUUAUUGAGCUUGAAGACCCCGCUAUCCUUGAUAACGUCGCAGAAACCCAAAACAAGGAAAGGUUACCAAGCUCUUUUCGACACGGAGAUGAAAAGAUGAAGGCGAAAAUGGUGGAGCAAACAGCAGAUUUCACAGCGCUUUUGGUGGCAUUUGUGGCGAGACUCCGUUCUCAAUAUGGCGUCAACAUGGUAAAAAGCGUAGCGACUUGGUCAAAAGUGAAUAUUUUGGCCGUUUCUGUAGAUAUGGACCCAAAAACUUGGAAAUGACAAGAGAAACUUAUGAGCAUUGAAGUGCAAUCGAUUUCGAAACCCGACUUUGCCGUGUUUGAAGUAUAGUAGCGAAGGAGAAGGAUUCCAGUUCAGUCAAUCUACGGACAACAACUUGGUGUACUUCCAAAUUCUGAAACCCAGUGUUACAUAAAGGAUACUUAGGAAUGAUGAAUCUUUUCUAUGCGUUGUAAUAAACUUGAAAUGUCAAAGUUU